AGAAAAGCGUCUGAUAUCGAGACUAUUCUUCAAUGUGCUUAUUAAAAGUCCCAUUAUUUAAGACAAAUAUGUGUUUCAGUUCAUUCGUCUUCCCAAUCAAACAACUACACGGCGCAAUGUACAACUUUAGCUCGGCAACGCUGCCACUGUGAGCGUUCGACGGAUAAAGCCAGCGGGAGCUGUGUUUGAGGUCUGGCAACAAUCGCAUCCCAACAGCUGAGCGCAUGGCGCAUGGCUGAGAACCAAGAUAAUUUGCGCCGGCAUUUGUUCGCUGCUCUUUUUUUCCUAGUGUUUCAUUGGUGACUGACGUUGCGGUUGAUAAUCGCGGUUAUGAUGGGUGAUUUCGUCCUUGUGCGUAUGGUGACCGAGCCUGAAUGACUUCUGAGGCCACAGAUAGAACGGCCGAUGGGCAGCUUUGUUUACCUUCAAGACCGAGUGGUGCUGUGAGUUUGCUGAAAGCAACAACAGGACAGAAAAUAUGGAAUGUGGGCCUUGGAAGGACCAGCUGAUGAAAAAAUCUACGCCUGUGCUGCACAGUAAGGCUUCUGGCAGACCUGAAAGCAUCGAUAGAUAUGGUGCCUGCCUGUUGGAAUUGCACCAGCUCGCUUCCCUGAAAGGAGCUAGGUGCUGAAGAAGUACUUGACUAGCCUACCCGCAUUGUCAUUGUGACAGUCUGCAUCACCAUUUGGCCUAUUUUGGGAUCCCACAAGACACGCUGCUACCCUGGGUGUUGUACCUUGGUCAAUUGCUGAAGUUCUGCAAGCCCCAUUGAAGCCAACUGUCAUCCGCAUCCAAUGGAAGAAACUCAUUGUUCGGGCCGUCAUAAAUUAUCUUAAGCUGGAGCUAGAAGCAGGGUAGAAACAGCAUAUAUUCUACAAGAAUUUACCACUGCAUGCCGUCGGGUGGCUACACCCGGCAGACUACUGUCUUGAACAGAGAUGGUGUUUUAUUCUAGAAUAUAUUAGUCAGCAGUACUACUCCUGUUUAUAUCCUUGGAAACAAACAAGCGAAGACACCAAAGACAACAGAGGAGAAAUUACUUCUACUUACUAAUUGAAUUAAAGA